AAGAACUCAUCUUAAAUUUUUAUGUAUAGAAAAAUAAUUACAGGUUGAUAUUAUUAUUAUUUUUAUUUUUUAUUAACAUCAUUUUUUUAUUAUAAAAAUUUGCCACGUUCGAAUUUUGUAUUAAAUUUAAUUUUAAAUUAAUUUUAAUAUAUAUACUAAUUGAAGUACUUUACCAAUCAAGCCGAACGCAAUAACAGAGAAAUCGCAGGCUCUCAGCUGGAAAGAUAUGGGGGAAGAAGAUGAAGAAUUUUCCUCAAGUAAACAUGAGAAAGAUCUAGAGUUGUUAAAGGGGCGAAGAUUUUCUUGCUCACUUCCAUGGUGAAGUAUUUAUGCUUUGAAUUCCGUAUUAAAAGGGAGAACUUUUCUAAAUCAAAGAUUUGGCUUAGAAGGGACAAGGAUAAGCAGAAAUAGGAAUCAAUUGGGGAUUCUUCAAGAAGGCUAUUUUCUUUCGAUUUUCAGUGAAUAAAAAUGUUGUCCCAGAUGGUGAUUCGAAGGUGAAGAAUAGGAAUGGUGGUGCAAGCGGGUGCUAAUUCGGAGAUUGGCAUUGGAGGAUGGGAAAAUGGAUGUAGAUUCGGGUUUUGAUGAGGAGAAUCAGUACUGGAAUGCGAAAACUGCUUCAUUUGCAAGGAAGACCCUGCUUUGGCCUCUUGGAAGAAAAAAUAAGGAACAAGGGCAAGAUAGUUGGCUUUGGAGCAGGGCAGACCAAAAAUUGAAAAUGAAAGCAAUCGGCUUCCGCUUAUUCUUUGCUUAAAAUAAAUUGAAGGCAUGUAACUUUUCUUUUCCUGUUCUUUGGACAACAGAAAUACCAGUUCGUCUUUGCAUUUUGGAUUUUCAAUUAUAUUUUGUGGUAAACUGAUUGAAUGAAGCAGAGUAGUGAUUUUAGUUAAAAAAUUACAGUUUAAUUUUAAGAUUUCCCUGUUUAUUUGAAUGCUAUCAUUGUAGCAAUAUCUGCCAUCAUUUUAGCAAAAUCAGUAUAACCAUUGCCUGUAUGUUAUUUUCAGGUCACUGUAAUAA